UUCCUCUGAACUCAUGUGCAAAAUAUGCUGCGCCGCAUCUUCUGGGGAGCCGCGCGGCCCCUAACAGCAGCCGCGGGAGCGACGAGCGGGCCCCGCGCCCCCUCCACUCGCCGCUCCGCCGCCUCCACGCAGCCCGCAACCUGUGCGCUCCCCGCUGCCGGCGACCCUAGUUGCCCCUCCUCGCAGAGAUCAGAGGUUCACCCGCCCACCGUCCCAACCCGUUUUAACCUAGGUUGCGUGCGUCAAGAACGCGCGUGGGGCUGGGAACCCUCAAAUUUGGAGCUGGAUACUGGAGGGCGACUGCCACCGAAGGUGCUCGUUUGGGGGCUGGGAGGACCACAGAGAAGAGAGGACCGUUCCUCCUUAUUCCACAGGAUCACGAAAACCAGAUCUUCUACAGGGCGGCCAAACAGCAACACUGCAGGGCUGACGGGAGGGAUAAGUAAACUCAUACACACCCUGGAGACACGGGAAUUAUUCAUCUUUAUCAUCACUGUUUACAUUUUAAGUAGGUUUGCAGCCCCAGUGAGAUCACAGUUUGGCUGGCCAUUCCCAUACUAACUGACUGCAGAAAGCUGGCCCCGUGGAGGGUGACACUUGUUCCUAUGAGGAGGCGUGGUAGCCCCAGAGCCAGCAGUUUGAGAGGAGCCCCUUGGCCUGAGUUCACUGUGAUGGGCACACCCUGGUAAAUCCAUGGUGCCCUUGGCCAGAAUGGAGACAGCCUCAUGCUGGUGUCCAAACUCGCCCUGUGACCCCCUCAGCCAUGUGGGCAUGUGAAUUGGGGUGGAGCAGGGAGAUGGCAGGAUAUUUUGUAUGUUUGCAUUGAUGGGCCAAGGCUACGGAUUUUUGUCCAAAGUGUAGUCCAACUAAUACUUUGCAAAUGCUACCUGAAGACAUUGCCAAUUUGAGGACAUGUUUGGAUGAUGGCCAAAUGUUUCAUUCACCACAAUUUUAAAAAAGUUACUGUUUUUCUGCUCCUGAUUCCACUCCUCCUUCUACCUUUGAAUUCCCAAUUUGUCAGACAGGCAGUUCAGGGGAGCAGAGGCCCUCCUGUGGCCGAGACUGAAUUUGUUCUCUGGAGCAAAGAACCCUGAGAGAUUAAAUUGCAGUAAUGUAGUAUGAAGCACAGGGCUGUUGGCAGCCUGAGGAAGCCUCUGGCUUUACCAAAAGCCAUCCACGUCUGUACCCCUUCACUGGUUAUUCCAUACCCCUCCCAUUCACGGGACAUACCUAUUAACUUGCAUUUGUAAACAAACUGUAUUAUUGGAGAUAGAAAAAAAAAAUACAUAUAUAUAUGAAUACAUAGGAAAGCUGUAUAUUCCACAAAGGAAAAAAUAUAAAGGAGAUUGUGGAAAUAACUCAUUAAAUAAAGAUGAGAUAUUUUAACUGAUAAUAUUUUAAUGAUAAUAUAUUAACUGAUCUGAUUUCCCUUCCCCACUAUAUUUCUGUCUUUAUUUUUUUUUAACCUUUUUCCCCUUUUUGAAAAUUGAAGUAUAUUAGAGACUCUCAGACUAAGUGAAGGAAGUCAGAAAGAGAAAGACAAUUCCCAUAUGAUCUCACUUAUAUCUGGAAUCUAAUAUAUGGCACAAAUGAACCUUUCCACAGAAAAGAAACUUCUGGACAUGGAGAACAGACUUGCGGUUGACAAGAGGGAGGAGGAGGGAGUGGGAUGGUCUGGGAAUUUGCGGUUAGUAGAUGCAAACUAUUGCCUUUGGAAUGGAUAAGCAGUGGGAUCCUGCUGUGUAGCACUGGGAACUAUGUCUGGUCACUUGUGAUGGAGCAUGAUAAUGUGAGAAAAAAGAAUGUAUACAUGUAUGUGUGACUGGGUCACCUUUCUGUGCAGCAGAAAAUGGCCAGAAUACUGUGAAUCAGCUAUAAUGGAAAAAAUAAAAAUCAUUAUUAAAAAAAAAGAAAAUUGAAGUAUAGUCGAUUUGCAAUGUUGUGUUAGUUUUUAGGUGUACAGCAAAGUGAUUCAGUUACACAUAUUUUCAGAUUCUUUCUGCUUAUAAAUUAUUAUAAUAUAUUGAGUAUAGUUCCCUGUGUAUAUAUAUGUUAAUCCCAAACUCCUAAUGUAUUCCUCCCUCCUUUUCCCCUUUGGCAAUCAUAAGUUUGUUUUCUAUGUCUGUGAGUCUAUUUAUGUUUUGUAAAUAAGUUCAUUUGCAUCAUUUUUGUUAGAUUCCACAUGUAAGCAAUAUCAUAGGAUAUUUGUCUUUGCCUGGCUUAUUCCUCUUAGUAUGCUAAUCUCUAGGCCCAUCCAUGUUGCUGCAAAUGGCAUUGUUUCUUUUUAUGGCUGAGUAAUAUUCCAUUGGGCCCCACCAUAUUUCCUGUUACACUGUACCAACCCUCUUCCCACCAAUUCAGGCAGCUAGAAAAGAUUUGCCACAAGGUAGAGUUAUCAUUGGCAGUACCAUAAAAAAAAAAAAAAA
rnacentral:lncRNA from 1 species